rnacentral:tRNA from 1 species
GCACUUAUAGCUCAGUUGGAUAGAGCGCUCCCCUCCUAAGGGAGAGGCCGCAGGUUCAAUUCCUGCUAAGUGCACCA